UUCCUCUGCUUUUGAAACGGGGAAGACAAGGAAAUGUGAGCCCUGACACCAUUCCUGCCUCUGACUAACCUGAUGACUUUUCAAAGAGAAAUUUAACAUCAUAAGCCUUAUUUACCCCAGCAAAACGAAAGAUAAUGACACUUAAACUAUUUAAAAUGAGGGCCUUGGGUUAGGAAAUCCUCUGUCUUCUCUUCCAGAUCCCAGUGUUUUCCAGAUCACUCAAGUUGAAUGCUCUCUGGAUUGGACAACAGAAGGCCUGGUUCUGCCCUUAGCUCUGCUGUUCACUGGACUCACAUCUUCUGUUUGUCAGGAGUCAUCUCCAGGGAUGGAACAAGAAACACUUUGAAUAAGGAUGUGUCCAUCUCAGGGAGGGCAUGAGAAACCAUGGAAGCAGCUUAGCAUUUGUUCAUGAAACUAGGUAAGAGAACCCAGUUUUACCAUUCUGAGAGAUGCAGUUGAGUAUUUAAAGAUUCACAUUACCUGAGACUUUCUGGUAUCUUUUAUUUUUCUUUUCUUUUAUGACCACCCCAUGGCAUAUGGAGUUCCCAGGCCAGGGAUCAGAUCUGAGCCACAGUUGUGACCUAGGCCACAGCUGCAGUAAUGCUGGAUCCUUUAACCCAUGGUGUUGGGCCAGGGAUUGAACUUGUGUCCUGGAGCUACAGAGAUGCUGCUGAUCCCAUUGUGCCACAGUAGGAAUGCCUCUACU
ensembl:lncRNA